AUUGAACGCUGGCGGCAUGCCUUACACAUGCAAGUCGAACGGCUGCACGGGUGCUUGCACCUGGUGGCGAGUGGCGAACGGGUGAGUAAUACAUCGGAACAUGUCCUGUAGUGGGGGAUAGCCCGGCGAAAGCCGGAUUAAUACCGCAUACGAUCUACGGAUGAAAGCGGGGGACCUUCGGGCCUCGCGCUAUAGGGUUGGCCGAUGGCUGAUUAGCUAGUUGGUGGGGUAAAGGCCUACCAAGGCGACGAUCAGUAGCUGGUCUGAGAGGACGACCAGCCACACUGGGACUGAGACACGGCCCAGACUCCUACGGGAGGCAGCAGUGGGGAAUUUUGGACAAUGGGCGAAAGCCUGAUCCAGCAAUGCCGCGUGUGUGAAGAAGGCCUUCGGGUUGUAAAGCACUUUUGUCCGGAAAGAAAUCCUUGGCCCUAAUACGGUCGGGGGAUGACGGUACCGGAAGAAUAAGCACCGGCUAACUACGUG
rnacentral:rRNA from 1 species